CAAUGAAAAGGACAAACUGUCCAGAGUGUGUUUGAUAAUCUGACAUGGGACAGAGGUUCUUUUCACUGUUGUGUCAGUUUAUCAAACCCAUACCUGGAUACCAGUCAGUACAGUUAAGG
rnacentral:pre_miRNA from 15 species